rnacentral:tRNA from 1 species
AUCACGAUCUACUAAAAGGAAAGUUUCCCAAGAUAGGGAGAUAUUGGUUCAAAUCCAAUUCGUGAGACCA